rnacentral:tRNA from 1 species
UCAAGGCAUAGUUUAUAAAAAUAUUAGUUUUGGGUACUAAAGAUGUCUGGCUAGACUGACUUGAG